rnacentral:rRNA from 1 species
AGUGAACGCUGGCGGUAGGCCUAACACAUGCAAGUCGAACGGCAGCACAGUAAGAGCUUGCUCUUACGGGUGGCGAGUGGCGGACGGGUGAGGAAUACAUCGGAAUCUACUUUUUCGUGGGGGAUAACGUAGGGAAACUUACGCUAAUACCGCAUACGACCUACGGGUGAAAGCAGGGGAUCUUCGGACCUUGCGCGAUUGAAUGAGCCGAUGUGGGAUUGGCUAGUUGGCGGGGUAACGGCCCACCAAGGCGACGAUCCGUAGCUGGUCUGAGAGGAUGAUCGGCCACACUGGAACUGAGACACGGUCCAGACUCCUACGGGAGGCAGCAGUGGGGAAUAUUGGACAAUGGGCGCAAGCCUGAUCCAGCCAUACCGCGUGGGUGAAAAAGGCCUUCGGGUUGUAAAGCCCUUUUGUUGGGAAAGAAAAGCAGCAGGUUAAUACGCCGCUGUUCUGACGGUACCCAAAGAAUAAGCACCGGCUAACUUCGUG